rnacentral:rRNA from 1 species
GACGUAGGGUGCAAGCGUUGUCCGGAAUUAUUGGGCGUAAAGAGCUCGUAGGCGGUUUGUCGCGUCUGCUGUGAAAACUGGAGGCUCAACCUCCAGCCUGCAGUGGGUACGGGCAGACUGGAGUGCGGUAGGGGAGAAUGGAAUUCCUGGUGUAGCGGUGAAAUGCGUAGAUAUCGUAAGGAAGACCAGUGGCGAAGGCGGGUCUCUGGACAGUUCCUGACGCUGAGGCGCGAAAGCGUGGGGAGCAAACAGG